GCUGGGUGCUCUGUCGCUUUCCUCUGGCUUAGCCCCUCCAGCCUGAUCUCAGAUUUACCUCUCCCUAGUGUCUUUGAACUGAGUCUUAAUACUGGUUUCAACUAUACUUCUACCUUUUGCCCUUUUAGAUGAUACAUUCCUAGGUAGAUAAGUGAAUUCAGCUAAUCAAGGGAAUGCUUCCAGUGUGCUUUCAGCUUCUAUCUAUAUUUGAGGAAAGGUAAAUAUACCCAGAGGUACUCAUUUAUUUUGUAAAAACAAAACAAAACAAAAACAUCUAUAGUACUGGUGGCAAUAUUUUACAUUUGAAUUUUAAAGCAAUCUUGCAAGGUGAGUAAAGUGAGGAGGUAAGUGACAACUAAUAAUACAUAGAAAGUCAAGAGCACAGCUAGAAUUGAAAGUCAGGACUCCUGACUAUCAAGCCAGUGUGCUUUCUGUCACAGCACUCCAAAAGAAGAAGGAAAAGAAGAAAGAGGAGGAGGAGGAGGAGAAAGAGGAGGAAGAGAAAAAGAAGGAGGAAGAGGAUUUCUGAAGAUAACUGCCUGGAGAAGAUGGAGAAGAGAAGAACAUUUAUUAACAUCUAAUCCUGUUAAGAUUUUCUACACCAUAUGCCUGAGGAAGAGAACAUGUGAAAUGUGUACUAAUUACUCCUGGUUUGUCAUGUGUGUACAUUUUCAAUGCAGUCCCUGACCUUUUUGUUAAUAACUUCACAUUAUAUUCAUUGACCUGAAACAAAUUGAAUUCAGUGGCACUCACUCAAGAAUUGAAUUGCAUA
rnacentral:lncRNA from 1 species